GUGCGGCGUGGCUGCUUGUUUUAAUUGGCGAUCGGUCUAGAAAGUGUACAAGCACAAGUUAUCAAUCCACACACUUCUACUUCCAAUUACACACACACACACACACACACACACACAAGACAACGCGGUCACACAAAGAACUCACUACACUCCAAAUUCCUCAUGCAUUGUUUUGCGAGGUUACCAUACCUCCGUGCCCUCUCUCCCCAGCUCGCGCACACGGCAGAGAUAGUUUAAUUAAAGAACAACAUUAUCUUAGGGCAGCUGCACUCCUUGCAGUAAGGAAUGCCUUGUUUUCAGUGCUGCGUCAGGAGAGCAGGAGAGCGCGCCACCUCCACUAACCGCUGCCUGUCCUCCUCUGUCCUAUAUGGCCCCUUGCUCUGUCAAUAGCUUUUAAUGGUGCGAUUGCAAAACAUCUUGUCACAUGCGGGAGUUACGAUGAGGUUUUACAGCCCUGCAGCCAUUCAAAAGAUAUAUACAUCGCAGUUACCCGAGACGUCUUAAGACGGAGACGGUGUGUGCAAAGCGUUGCAUAAUGCCGAGGGACAUAAUUUUUUUAAUUGCGCACUUCAAGACGGUGCACGUGUGUCCCGAUGUGUAUUAUAAAGUGGGCACUUAAAAACAAAGGCCUGCCGAUAUAGACGCAGAUAAAUGCUGCCUACAUGCGUCUGAACAAACUACCGCCAAACGCUGGGAAACAAAUGUCUCUGUAAUCGAGAAAUGAUAUCCAGACAAAAUAAAUAUUUGGUGUUUUUUUUGUGCUUUGCAUGUUGUCGGUGAACACCGGUGCAUCGGUGCUGGUCUGCCGGCAGGGUGAAGCCUCGCCGGCCGUGCCGCUUAAACAAGAUUUUCUCCUUUUUUGUUUCUUUUUUUUUUCUUCUUCAUAAUCGACACGAUCGUAACCCCCUGCCGAACAAAGGCAUGAAUAUCCAUUUCCAAGGAAAAGGGUGAGUGCCCUCUCCAUGCCCCCUCCUCGGCCCUCGGUGUACUGUACCCGUUGCCCUGGUAACCCCAACGGGCAGAAUGCAGAUCAGGGGGACCAACGCAGCGGCCUCUUGUCUCCCCUCACAAUUCACCCUGAUGAUGGCUAACACUUUUGUUCAUGGAGAGGGCAGGUGGGAGUUUACAAUACGCUUCAAAUCAUUGCUCACCCGAGAUCUCCCCUUUACUCUCCCUCUCUAACCCCCGGCUCCCCCAUCCAUAUCUUUCCACCUCUCGUCUUUCUUUUCUUCAUUUUUUUCCCGAUCUCCCCCCCCUCCAAUGUCCCCCCCCCCUCCUCCCUCGUUCGUCCUUCCAGUCGAGAAUGACAGUGAAUCCCACAAAGCUCACUCGCGGCAGACGUGGCGGUGGUUUGCGAGAGGUCAGUGUUAUCUAAACAGACCCAUUGGGCUAUUUGCUAUAGCACCCUCCAUCAGGCAGGAAGCUCUGAGGAAUCAGCCCAUCACUUCAAUCAGCCACCACGGCAUACAAUGAAUUUAUAAUGGCCAGAGCAGGGCGAGGGACGAAAUCAAAGAGAGACAGAGGGAGGAAGAGAGAGCGAUGGACGAAGAGGGAAAAGGGGUUCGGGAGGACAAGAGAGCAAAAGAUGGAGGAGCCGAAGUGGAGUCCGUGUCAAUGACCACUAUGCGCCGGACGUAUUUGCAGCCGGCCGGCGUGUUUAUUGGCCCGUGUGCAGAGAGAGGAGGUAAUCUUAUCUCCGUUCAUAGGGUAAGUACAUGUGACGGUAGAGAUACACAAACUCUUGAUCAAUAUCUUGAUAGAUUGUCAGAUAAUGACUCAUCGCGCGGGUGUGGACAAUUGCUUCAAUGUGUUUUCCUGGCUCAGGCCCGGAAAAGGGGCCCAAAAGGGGACCGCGGCCCGGUUCUCUGUCUUUGGACCGACCCGACCGACAGACAGACCGACCGACUGAUGGCGCCCGGGCCCCUCGCGCCCCCCCCCCCCCGCCUGGCCAUUGCCCUUUGACCACAUUAACCGGCGCAGUCAAACUCAUCUCUCCGGUCUCCUGUUAUCACCUGGAAUCAAACAUUAAAAGAGGGAGGGAGCCGGAGUUACUCAUAAAGUCUGAGAUAUAUGGGCGCUGGUGGGGGGGAGAGAUAAAGACGGUGAGAGGCGGAGUGGGGGAAGAAGAUGAUAAAAAAU
ensembl:lncRNA